GAACAUACCUUCAACGUUGCUUCGGCGGGUUGGCCCCGGUCUCCGGGGUCCCCGGCCCUACUCGGGCGCCCGCCGGAGGUAUCUAACUCUUGAACUUUUAUGGCCUCUCUGAGUCUUUGUACUUAAUAAGUCAAAACUUUCAACAACGGAUCUCUUGGUUCUGGCAUCGAUGAAGAACGCAGCGAAAUGCGAUAAGUAAUGUGAAUUGCAGAAUUCAGUGAAUCAUCGAAUCUUUGAACGCACAUUGCGCCCGCCAGUAUUCUGGCGGGCAUGCCUGUUCGAGCGUCAUUUCAACCAUCAAGCCCCCGGCUUGUGUUGGGGACCUGCGGCUGCCGCAGGCCCUGAAAACCAGUGGCGGGCUCGCUAGUCACUCCGAGCGUAGUAAUACAUCUCGCUCAGGGCGUGCUGCGGGUUCCGGCCGUUAAAAAGCCUUAUUUACCCAAGGUUGACCUCGGAUCAGGUAGGAAGACCCGCUGAACUUAAGCAUAUCAAUAAGCGGAG
rnacentral:rRNA from 1 species